UUUUUAUGAGAGUUUGAUCCUGGCUCAGGACGAACGCUGGCGGCGUGCCUAAUACAUGCAAGUCGAACGCUUCUUUUUCCACCGGAGCUUGCUCCACCGGAAAAAGAGGAGUGGCGAACGGGUGAGUAACACGUGGGUAACCUGCCCAUCAGAAGGGGAUAACACUUGGAAACAGGUGCUAAUACCGUAUAACAAUCGAAACCGCAUGGUUUUGAUUUGAAAGGCGCUUUCGGGUGUCACUGAUGGAUGGACCCGCGGUGCAUUAGCUAGUUGGUGAGGUAACGGCUCACCAAGGCCACGAUGCAUAGCCGACCUGAGAGGGUGAUCGGCCACAUUGGGACUGAGACACGGCCCAAACUCCUACGGGAGGCAGCAGUAGGGAAUCUUCGGCAAUGGACGAAAGUCUGACCGAGCAACGCCGCGUGAGUGAAGAAGGUUUUCGGAUCGUAAAACUCUGUUGUUAGAGAAGAACAAGGAUGAGAGUAACUGUUCAUCCCUUGACGGUAUCUAACCAGAAAGCCACGGCUAACUACGUGCCAGCAGCCGCGGUAAUACGUAGGUGGCAAGCGUUGUCCGGAUUUAUUGGGCGUAAAGCGAGCGCAGGCGGUUUCUUAAGUCUGAUGUGAAAGCCCCCGGCUCAACCGGGGAGGG
rnacentral:rRNA from 1 species